rnacentral:lncRNA from 1 species
AGAAGAGCCAGAACCACAGCAUGCCUCUCUAUUUCAGAGCUACAUUAAGGUUGUUAAUUUAGUAGAUCAGAGAAAUCCACUCGAUAAAAAUGUUUUUAAGAUUUCAUCGUAGCACUUGAUGAGCUCUCUUGUCAACAAGUUCUGGAAAUAUUUACUGGAUGAUAAUACAAUCAACCCUUUACUUCCUCCUCUUCAAAUAAGCCAUACAGAAUAAAGGAAAAAUCUACAGAAU